rnacentral:rRNA from 1 species
ACGCUCGACACCUACGGGAGCAGCAGUGGGGAAUAUUGCACAAUGGGGGAAACCCUGAUGCAGCGACGCCGCGUGAGCGAAGAAGUAUUUCGGUAUGUAAAGCUCUAUCAGCAGGGAAGAUAAUGACGGUACCUGACUAAGAAGCUCCGGCUAAAUACGUGCCAGCAGCCGCGGUAAUCUGAGCGGGCUGGCAAGGC